UUAGUGGCGCACGGGUGCGUAACACGUAGCUAACCUGCCCAGAACUGGGGGAUAGCCCGCCGAAAGGCGGAUUAACACCGCAUAACAUCUGUACCCGGCAUCGGGUGCUGAUUAAAUCUACGGAGGUUCUGGAUGGGGCUGCGGGUCAUUAGCUAGUUGGUGGGGUAACGGCCUACCAAGGCGACGAUGACUAGGGGAGCUGAGAGGCUGGUCCCCCACACGGGCACUGAGAUACGGGCCCG
rnacentral:rRNA from 1 species